GGGCGACCGGCGCACGGGUGAGUAACACGUAUCCAACCUGGCCGAUGACUCGGGAAUAGCCUUUACGAAAGAAAGAUUAAUACCCGAUGGCAUAGUUCUUCCGCAUGGUAGAACUAUUAAAGAAUUUCGGUCAUCGAUGGGGAUGCGUUCCAUUAGCUUGUUGGCGGGGUAACGGCCCACCAAGGCAUCGAUGGAUAGGGGUUCUGAAAGGAAGGUCCCCCACAUUGGAACUGAGACACGGUCCAAACUCCUACGGAAGGCAGCAG
rnacentral:rRNA from 1 species